rnacentral:lncRNA from 1 species
AUGUCCGUGCUCAAAUUACCGACAGCCAAGGAGACAGCGGUCACUGUCCUAGAUCACGUCUUUCGGCUUCAUGGCCUCCCGGUAGACGUGGUUUCUGACAGGGGAUCUCAAUUUAUAUCCAAAUUUUGGAAAGAGUUUUGUAAAUUGCUAGGAGCGUCAGUUAGCUUGUCUUCGGGUUAUCAUCCCCAAAGUAACGGACAAUCUGAGCGAGCCAACCAAGAUUUAGAGAGGACGUUGCGAUGUUUGGUCUCCAAGAAUCCUUCUUCCUGGAGUCAACAACUCUCUAUGGUGGAGUACGCCCACAAUUCAUUGCCAGUGUCAGCUACGGGCCUUUCUCCAUUUCAGUGUAGUGUAGGGUACCAGCCACCAGUCUUUCCCAGUCUGGAAUCUGAAGUCGCGGUCCCCUCCGCUCACGCGUUUGUCCAGAGGUGCCACCGCACCUGGACCAGAGCCCGCGAGACUCUGCUCCGGAUGAGGGAGCGCACUAAGGCUAAGGCCGAUCGCCACUGGUCAAAGCCUCCCGUUAACGUUGUGGGUCAAAAGCUGUGGCUUUCGCCUACUCCGGUUCCCCCGCCGCCGCGUCUCGUAGAUGGGGAACCGACUUAUUCAGUUAAUCGCAUUCUGGACUCAAGACGGAGGGGGCGAAUAUUCCAGUACCUGGUGGACUGGGAAGGUUACGGUCCGGAGGAGAGGAGUUGGGUACCUGCUAGGGGCAUAUUGGAUCACUCCCUUAUUGAUGAUUACAAUCAGCAGGUAGGCCCUUCUGGGAACUCCAGGAGGCGUUCGUUGGGGGGGGGUACGGUGUCACGGUUGGUAAACCGUGAUCUCUGGGUUUUGCACUUUGUGGUGAAGUCUGUGUGUUUCGCGUCUGCACUGAUUAGCUUGUGGGCGUCUCCGUUAAUUGUCAUCAGCAGCAGCUGUCACUCAUCACUCUCUCCCUAUAUAAUGGCUUGUCUCACGUCUUGUGUUUGUGAGAGCGUUGUUUCAUGUUUGGUAACUGUUCUUUGCUUCUGUGUUGUUCUGCGUUGGAUGUCCGUGUCUUCCCCCGGAACCUCAUCCACUCAUCGCACCUUCACAAGCAUCACCACUUACCUUCGGCUCGAUUCCCCGCAGUUCCUAUAUAUAUAUGGCUUGUCUCACGUCUUGUGUUUGUGA